CGAACGCUGGCGGCAGGCCUAAUACAUGCAAGUCGAACGGCUCUUCGGAGCAGUGGCGGACGGGUGAGUAACGCGUGGGAAUGUGCCCUUUGGUACGGAACAACACAGGGAAACUUGUGCUAAUACCGUAUGUGCCCUUCGGGGGAAAGAUUUAUCGCCAUUGGAGCAGCCCGCGUUGGAUUAGGUAGUUGGUGAGGUAAAGGCUCACCAAGCCUACGAUCCAUAGCUGGUCUGAGAGGAUGACCAGCCACACUGGGACUGAGACACGGCCCAGACUCCUACGGGAGGCGGCAGUAGGGAAUCUUGCGCAAUGGGCGAAAGCCUGACGCAGCCAUGCCGCGUGUAUGAUGAAGGUCUUAGGAUUGUAAAAUACUUUCACCGGGGAAGAUAAUGACGGUACCCGGGGAAGAAGCCCCGGCUAACUUCGUGCCAGCCGCCGCCGUAAAAC
rnacentral:rRNA from 1 species